GGUUGAUCCUGCCAGUAGUCAUACGCUCGUCUCAAAGAUUAAGCCAUGCAUGUAUAAGUAUAAAUAGUAAACUUUAAAACUGCGAAUGGCUCAUUAUAUCAGUUAUAGUUUAUUUGAUGAACUCUUACUACUGGAUAACCGUAGUAAUUCUAGGGCUAAUACAUAAUUGAAACCUUAACUCUCGUAGAAAAGGUGUGUUUAUUAGUAUGAAAACCAUAAGUUUCGGCUUAUUAGUGAGUAAUAAUAACCAAUCAUAUCGUAUGCUUUAAUAGUAACGAUAUAUCUUUCAAGUU
rnacentral:rRNA from 1 species